AUACAAACUCAGUGUAGAGCACCAGCAGAAUGCAGCACUGGAAAGUGAACACUACAAACGCCUUGGACUGAAAAAAAACUCUUGUGCAGAUUUAAACUGCUUACAAUCAGUGGAGUAGCAGUCGGUUUUUCACCUGACUGACUGAAUGAACUGCUUCGAACUCUCAAAAUAAAAAGGAGAUCAAAAGUGUG